AGUGAACGCUGGCGGUAGGCCUAACACAUGCAAGUCGAACGGCAGCACAGUAAGAGCUUGCUCUUACGGGUGGCGAGUGGCGGACGGGUGAGGAAUACAUCGGAAUCUACUUUUUCGUGGGGGAUAACGUAGGGAAACUUACGCUAAUACCGCAUACGACCUACGGGUGAAAGCAGGGGAUCUUCGGACCUUGCGCGAUUGAAUGAGCCGAUGUCGGAUUAGCUAGUUGGCGGGGUAAAGGCCCACCAAGGCGACGAUCCGUAGCUGGUCUGAGAGGAUGAUCAGCCACACUGGAACUGAGACACGGUCCAGACUCCUACGGGAGGCAGCAGUGGGGAAUAUUGGACAAUGGGCGCAAGCCUGAUCCAGCCAUACCGCGUGGGUGAAGAAGACCUUCGGGUUGUAAAGCCCUUUUGUUGGGAAAGAAAAGCAGCAGGUUAAUACCCCGCUGUUCUGACGGUACCCAAAGAAUAAGCACCGGUUAACUUCGUG
rnacentral:rRNA from 1 species